ACGCUCGACACCUACGGGAAGGCAGCAGUGGGGAAUAUUGCACAAUGGGGGAAACCCUGAUGCAGCGACGCCGCGUGAAGGAAGAAGUAUCUCGGUAUGUAAACUUCUAUCAGCAGGGAAGAAAAUGACGGUACCUGACUAAGAAGCCCCGGCUAACUACGUGCCCGCAGCCGCGGUAAUACUGAGCGGGCGUGGCGAAGGACG
rnacentral:rRNA from 1 species